GACGAACGCUGGCGGCGUGCUUAACACAUGCAAGUCGAACGGAAAGGCCCUGCUUUUGUGGGGUGCUCGAGUGGCGAACGGGUGAGUAACACGUGAGUAACCUGCCCUUGACUUUGGGAUAACUUCAGGAAGCUGGGGCUAAUACCGGAUAGGAGCUCCUGCUGCAUGGUGGGGGUUGGAAAGUUUCGGCGGUUGGGGAUGGACUCGCGGCUUAUCAGCUUGUUGGUGGGGUAGUGGCUUACCAAGGCUUUGACGGGUAGCCGGCCUGAGAGGGUGACCGGCCACAUUGGGACUGAGAUACGGCCCAGACUCCUACGGGAGGCAGCAGUGGGGAAUAUUGCACAAUGGGCGGAAGCCUGAUGCAGCAACGCCGCGUGCGGGAUGACGGCCUUCGGGUUGUAAACCGCUUUCGCCUGCGACGAAGCGUGAGUGACGGUAAUGGGUAAAGAAGCACCGGCUAACUACGUG
rnacentral:rRNA from 1 species